rnacentral:ncRNA from 19 species
CUAUCUUUGUCGCGCAUCGGUUUGCAACUCUCACAUACGAGGGAAGCGAUUAAAAGGGAAUCAGGUGUAAAUCCUGAACAGUCCCGCUGCUGUAAGUUCCACACAUUACGUUGCGAGCAACCUACUUUUAGCCACUGGAAAGAAACUUCCGGGAAGGCGCCCGCAACAGGAACAAGUCAGAAGACCUGCCGUGCAACCAAUUUCACUG